GUCCUUAUCGUCUAGAGGCCUAGUACAUCGCCCUUUCACGGCGGUAACCGGGGUUCGAAUCCCCGUAGGGACGCCA
rnacentral:tRNA from 1 species